GACGAACGCUGGCGGCGUGCUUAACACAUGCAAGUCGAACGGUGAAGGGGAGCUUGCUCCCCGGAUCAGUGGCGAACGGGUGAGUAACACGUGGGCAACCUGCCCCUGACUCUGGGAUAACGCUUCGAAAGAGGUGCUAAUACCGGAUACGAACUCCUUGGGCAUCUUGGGAGUUGGAAAGUUUUUCGGUCAGGGAUGGGCCCGCGGCCUAUCAGCUUGUUGGUGAGGUAACGGCUCACCAAGGCGACGACGGGUAGCCGGCCUGAGAGGGCGACCGGCCACACUGGGACUGAGACACGGCCCAGACUCCUACGGGAGGCAGCAGUGGGGAAUAUUGCGCAAUGGGCGAAAGCCUGACGCAGCAACGCCGCGUGAGGGAUGACGGCCUCGGUUGUAA
rnacentral:rRNA from 1 species